UACGUAGGUGACAAGCGUUGUCCGGAUUUACUGGGUGUAAAGGGCGCGUAGGCGGGAUAGCAAGUCAGUCGUGAAAUGCCGAGGCUUAACCUCGGAGCUGCGAUUGAAACUGUUAUUCUUGAGUAUCGGAGAGGAAAGCGGAAUUCCUAGUGUAGCGGUGAAAUGCGUAGAUAUUAGGAGGAACACCAGUGGCGAAGGCGGCUUUCUGGACGACAACUGACGCUGAGGCGCGAAAGUGUGGGGAGCAAACA
rnacentral:rRNA from 1 species